rnacentral:tRNA from 1 species
UGGUGCAGUAGGCAGCAUGUCAGUCUCGCAAACUGAAGGUCCCGAGUUCGAUCCUCAG